AGUGGAAAUGCUGGGUCAAAUGGUGGUUCCAUUAUAAGAUUUCUAGGAAUCUCCAUACUGAUUUCUAGAUUGGCUUCACCAAUUUGCAGUCCCACCAGCAAU
rnacentral:pre_miRNA from 1 species